rnacentral:rRNA from 1 species
GGUUCGACUCCGGAGAGGGAGCCUGAGAAACGGCUACCACAUCCAAGGAAGGCAGCAGGCGCGCAAAUUACCCACUCUCGGCACGAGGAGGUAGUGACGAAAAAUAACGAGACGGAUCUCUUUGAGGCCCGUUAUCGGAAUGAGAACAAUUCAAAUCCUUUAACGAGGUUCUAGCGGAGGGCAAGUCUGGUGCCAGCAGCCGCGGUAAUUCCAGCUCCGCAGGUGUAUAUCUAUGCUGCUGCGGUUAAAAAGCUCGUAGUUGGAUCUGCGUGCUCGGAACUGGUUGGCUCACUGAGUUCAAACUGGUCUCCGGCGCUUUAUUGGCCGGUUUUCCCUUGAUGCUCUUAACCGGGUGUCUUGGGUGGCUAGCACGUUUACUUUGAAAAAAUUAGAGUGCUCAAUACAGGCGUAAAGCCUUGAAUAGUGGUGCAUGGAAUAAUAGAAUAGGACCUCGGCUCUAUUUUGUUGGUUUUCGGAACGCGAGGUAAUGAUUAAGAGGGACAGACGGGGGCAUUCGUAUUGCGACGUUAGAGGUGAAAUUCUUGGAUCGUCGCAAGACGGACGACUGCGAAAGCAUUUGCCAAGAAUGUUUUCAUUAAUCAAGAACGAAAGUUAGAGGUACGAAGGCGAUCAGAUACCGCCCUAGUUCUAACCGUAAACGAUGCCAACUAGCGAUUCGCAGGCGUUAAACAACGACCUUGCGGGCAGCUUCCCGGAAACGAAAGUGUUCGGGUUCCGGGGGAAGUAUGGUUGCAAAGCUGAAACUUAAAGGAAUUGACGGAAGGGCACCACCAGGAGUGGAGCCUGCGGCUUAAUUUGACCCAACACGGGAAAACUCACCCGGCCCGGACACCGUAAGGAUUGACAGAUUGAGAGCUCUUUCUUGAUACGGUGGGUGGUGGUGCAUGGCCGUUCUUAGUUGGUGGAGCGAUUUGUCUGGUUUAUUCCGAUAACGAACGAGACUCUGGCCUACUAAAUAGUGGGCGGAUUCUUUCUGUCCGCAACACUUCUUAGAGGGACAAGCGGUGUUCAGCCGCACGAGAUUGAGCAAUAACAGGUCUGUGAUGCCCUUAGAUGUCCGGGGCUGCACGCGCGCUACACUGAAGGAAUCAGCGUGCUUUCUGACCUUGCCCGAAAGGGCUGGGUAACCCGAUGAAAAUCCUUCGUGAUUGGGAUAGGGACUUGCAAUUAUUUCCCUUGAACGAGGAAUUCCCAGUAAGUGUGGGUCAUAAGCUCGCGUUGAUUACGUCCCUGCCCUUUGUACACACCGCCCGUCGCUGCCCGGAACUGAGCCGUUUCGAGAAGAACAGGGACCGUCGUUGAAGGGCCUUAACGGGCUUUUCUCUGAUAGAAACUGUUUUAAUCGCAGUGGCUUGAACCGGGCAAAAGUCGUAACAAGGUU